rnacentral:lncRNA from 1 species
AACCUCUUCCUCCCAUUAAUGAUACUCGUGUAAAUGUUCGAAAAACUGAAGGUGAUCAUAAUGAAUCAAAUUGAUUGUCAUUUAGUCAUUUAUGUGUAUAGAACAAAACAAUGAUUUGAUAACAAUUAACAUGAGAUACUAACAUUUAAAAAAAAUAAAAACAUAAAAAAAUAAAAACUUGCUUCAAAAGAGUAUUUACUUGAUUUUAAUGAUUUGGCUUGUGUUCUUUAUCUUGAUAGGUAUACACAUAAAACGUCUUCCUCACAUCAACAAGGAUAAUCAUAUAAAAGUUGAAAAACAUGAAAGCGACCAAAGUGAUCAAGGCGUCUCUCAGACCAAAAUGAGAAUCAAAGGCACCUCAUUUCCUUAGGUAUUUUACAUCUCCACAAUCCAAUUUGGUUUUUGUUAAUGCCACGGUAAAUUGUUCCAUAAUGCUACUACAAAAAUAUAUGAACAUCUUUAUUCCGUAGUUCCUAUUUAGGGUUAUAAAUAAGUCGAGCCAAACAAAAUAUUAUGCUGCUCAGGCUUGAUUUAUUGGCUUGCUUAUGAUACAAGCCGAUCGAGCCAGAGUGAGCUUCAAAAAUUCAGGCUUGAUACAAAGCCCAAGUUGUUUGGAGUCAUUUACUAGACACAUCAAUUUUCACCCUUUUUGUUUUAAAGAAAACAAAAGCAUAGUUUUUAUUAAAUCAAUACAGUACAUUAAUUUGAAAAUGCUUUUAAAAUGACUAGAAGUGUUUUUGGUGAAAAUAUUUUUGAAACCAAUAUUUAGUAAAAAUCCAAAUGGAUCUUGGAAAAGCACUCUAAGUGCUUCCUGCAAGAAGCAUAUAUUUGGUGCUUUUUCUAAAGUGCUUUUGGAACCCAAAAAAUAAUAUCACCGAAAGUGCUUUCAGUCAUUUUAAAAGCAUUUUCAAAUGAGUCCAAAAACUUUUUGAACUUAUUCUACAUCAGUUACAAUUUGGAAGCCAUUGUACACGUUACAAGCAAGUAAAGAAACUCUCAAUUUUAAUUUCGAUAUCAACAUGAAAUGCUAUAAUGACUUAAUUGAGGGUAAUUUGGGAAACCCGAAAAAUGUUAAAUAUGACACAAUCUCAUUUAGGUAAUUUGUUUACGGGGAAUCUAGUCAUCGGGUUUUCUUUAGUAAAAUAGUUUAUUGUGGGUUUUAUGUAAAGAAAAUUGAGUUUGAAGGGUUUUCAGUGAUUUUAUUUUAACAUUUAGCAUAUAAACAGUGAGUAUAAAUUUAAAAGGCAACUGUUGACUUUGCUAUUAUAUAGAGUCCUUUAUAGAGUCUCUUAGAGAUGAUUUUUUCAUAUUUCACUCUUUAAAAUAGAGUUUUAAUGGUUUUACAGUUUCUCUUGGAGAUGCUCUAAGGGGUAGGGUAGUGGCUAAACCUUACAAUGGGUAGCCAUAAUAAUUUGAUUUGAAUUCGCCUUUGACGAGGAUCAAACCUAAGACCUCUCAAUUACAAGUGAAGAGUAAUAUCACUAAAUCUUAGUAAUAAGUGAUUCCGCCAAUAUAAUUUUAAAGGUUAAAAAAGGCAGGAAUUGAGGAACAUAAUAAAAUAAAUUAAAUUAAAUAAAAAAGUACUUUGGAUGCAGUCCCUAAUCCUUAAUACUCUUUAACUAAAACCUUAAUGAUAUUCAAAGUUUGAUCAAAGUUCUUUGACUUUGUACACCUCAUUAUAUUACUAUUAAUAUUUAUAUUUCUAUAGGUUUGACAUUAAUUGUUUGAUAUUUUAUGAGAUUUAUAAUCCUAUAAAUUUAAAAUCUCUCAUUAUAAUACUAUAGAAACGGCUACAAUAAAAAAAUUGAAACACUUUGAUUGAAUAAAUAGUUAAAAACUAUGUCACAAUAUGAAAUAAUAAAUGACAAAAGAAUGUAUCCUUUGUGUCAAAAAAAAAUUGGCACAUUUUACAUAUAAAAUCUUACAAAAAAGGAGUACAUUUUACAAAAAGAAUUGGUACAUUUUACAUAUAACAAAGUGGUACAUUAAUAAAAAAGAAUGGGUACAUUAUAAAUAAGUUACGGUACAAAUAAAAGAUUAAACAAAAUGAAUUUUAAAAAAUAUGAGAACAAAAAGAAAUUAAUACAUGGGUACAAAUUAAAACUAAAAACAAAAUAGUACAAAUUUAAAAAAAAAAAAGGUCACAAAUUAAAAGUGGGUAUAAACUAAAAAUAUAAAUAUAUGAUACAAAGUUUAGCCAUAAAAUAUAGAUAUACCAUAUGUAAUUUUUCUAACACUAAAUGAAUAUUUUAGAAAUUUAAAGUA